UGUGUCUUUACAAAAUGUUUUGAACUAUGGACCGGACUGGCCUUUUUUUAUCAAAAAUGUUUUGUGCUGUCUCUGACCAGUCUUUAUAAAAAAUAUUCUUGGACCAGACUAGACCGCAAACGGCGUAAACAGAUGCCCGUGCAAUUAGGUAAUAUUGUAAUUGGAUCUGUUUGUAUUUGUUGUUGUUGCCAUGUAAUCAAUUCUUUUUCAAAUUUUAAUUGCACGCCCAAAGUAUAAUUUUUCAACAAUCUUUCAAUGUGCAUUGGUUUCAUAUACUUUAACACCUCAAUGUAUAUAUUUGAAGGGAAAGUGGAAGAAUGCUGUAAACUCAACAACAUUAGGGUUGAAUAUGAACGAUUUUGGGGUAUUUGCCAAUUACCUAUUAGUAUUUUUAAUAUUUUGAUUUGAAAAUUAAAUGUAUUUAAAUUUUAAACACCUAAACAAUUAUAUUUUUAAUCAUUUAUUAUAA